UCUUGUUUGAGAAUUCUUGUAAAGAUUUUUUAAAUAUUUUUUAGUCGUUUAAAGAAUUUAGAAAUAUGAUAAAUUAGAUGAUAGCUCGUUAAACAAAAAAAAUCAAUUAUUGAAUGAAAUCAUCAUUGAGAGACGCUGUAUCGUAGUGUAUCACUUGAAAAAUGAAGGAACAGCGCGUAAAUUGCUAUUAUAGAGGUUUGAACGCUUGUAGCGGUUCUUAAUUCGUGAGGACAUUUAUUUGCUACACUUUGGUGCAAUAUAAUUCGACGCGUUUCUGCUAUUUUUACUGUUUUGUGAUUCAUUUACCCUACUAUUAAAAAGAAUUAUUGCCUUCGAGAUUUGAAACAUGUUACCACACCAACACCGUUCUUUAAUUUCUUCUUAACGAUUAAUUGUAUUUUAUUUUCAGAAGAAUAGAUAUUUCUAAUUUUUUCAAUGCUAUAAUGAGUCCAUUUAUACGUUUCUUCAUCUUUCGAUAUAGGAAAGUUAGUUUUAUUUUAUAUAUAAUUUCUAUUUUAAGAAAUUUAAAUUCUGUAAAAUAUUGUAGGUUGAAAAAUAUUGGAAGAAAUUGUUUUUAAAUGAUGAAAAUACAUUUCAUUGUCGAGAAGGAGGUAGCUGACUGAAGAUAAUAAUCACCUUCCGUUCGUCGUAAAUCUCUCCUUAUGAACGAUGGCGAUAGGGUUUGCUCGCACAAAAAUAGAGUUUUUUUCCUGGCCCUCGUAAAAUAUUUAUAUGCGCAAAUAGUGGAGAGUCGAGUCGAAAAUAGGGUUGGUCCGCGACUCGAUGAAAAGAAGACAUCGAUAAGAUGUUAAUGUCAGAGCGUCUGGGGAAUCGAAGAGGUGACAAAAUGAAUCCUCCGGUUUUGAUAGAGAAGUAGAUCCAUUACACUAUCUCUCGAGAAGGUUGUUACUUUUGUUGGACAGCUGUUUCCUUUAAAAAAAAAAUUAUUUAAUUGAGAAACUCAUUGUGUAACAAAAAUUUG